UAGAACAUGGAGGAGGCACAGUCAGA
rnacentral:piRNA from 1 species